AAGUCGUAACAAGGUUUCCGUAGGUGAACCUGCGGAAGGAUCAUUAAUGAUUUUUAAAGCGAGUCGAGCGUCAAGCGAGGCUUGCGAAAAAUAUUUAAAACCCCACUCUUUUUAACUUUAAAAUAUAAAUCAUGAUACAUGAAUUUAAAAAAAAAGAUCACUUUCAACAACGGAUCUCUUGGCUCUC
rnacentral:misc_RNA from 1 species